rnacentral:rRNA from 1 species
UACAGAGGGUGCAACCGUUGUUCGGAUUUACUGGGCGUAAAGCGCGUGUAGGCUGCUUCGCAAGUCGGAUGUGAAAGCCCUGGGCUCAACCCAGGAAGUGCAUUCGAAACUGCAAAGCUGGAGUCCUGGAGAGGAAGGCGGAAUUCUCGGUGUAGAGGUGAAAUUCGUAGAUAUCGAGAGGAACACCGGUGGCGAAGGCGGCCUUCUGGACAGUGACUGACGCUGAGACGCGAAAGCGUGGGGAGCAAACAGG